rnacentral:lncRNA from 1 species
UGCAAUCCUGUUAUGAAUAUCCUGCAUAAACAGUAAUAGUACAUUUAUCCUGAAAAAGAUAAUUUUCUACCCUACUCAUUUUAAUAGGUAGGUCUACCACGUGUAGAUGAUUGAUGAUGGUAAGUGUAACAAUGUUAGGCAGCAUCAACGUAUGGUUAAAAAUACACCAAAUUUUUCCCGCAUAUUUACUUUUUAUUAAAAACAUUUUCUAGUUACAGUUUUCAUACGUGCUUUUAUAGAGACUAUUUAAUUAAAAUAACAGUUAAAUAAUUU